UACGUAGGGGGGCAAGCGUUGUCCGGAAUUACUGGGCGUAAAGAGCUCGUAGGUGGUUUGUCGCGUUGUUCGUGAAAACUCACAGCUCAACUGUGGGCGUGCGGGCGAUACGGGCAGACUGGAGUACUGCAGGGGAGGACUGGAAUUCCUGGUGUAGCGGUGGAAUGCGUAGAUAUCGGGAGGAACACCUGUGGCGAAAGCGGCUCUCUGGACCACAACUGACGCUGAGGCGCGAAAGCUAGGGGAGCAAACAGG
rnacentral:rRNA from 1 species